rnacentral:rRNA from 1 species
CAAUUUAAACAACGAAGAGUUUGAUCCUGGCUCAGGAUGAACGCUAGCGACAGGCUUAACACAUGCAAGUCGAGGGGCAGCACAGGUAGCAAUACCGGGUGGCGACCGGCGCACGGGUGAGUAACGCGUAUGCAACUUGCCUAUCAGAGGGGGAUAACCCGGCGAAAGUCGGACUAAUACCGCAUGAAGCAGGGAUCCCGCAUGGGAAUAUUUGCUAAAGAUUCAUCGCUGAUAGAUAGGCAUGCGUUCCAUUAGGCAGUUGGCGGGGUAACGGCCCACCAAACCGACGAUGGAUAGGGGUUCUGAGAGGAAGGUCCCCCACAUUGGUACUGAGACACGGACCAAACUCCUACGGGAGGCAGCAGUGAGGAAUAUUGGUCAAUGGCCGAGAGGCUGAACCAGCCAAGUCGCGUGAGGGAUGAAGGUUCUAUGGAUCGUAAACCUCUUUUAUAAGGGAAUAAAGUGCGGGACGUGUCCUAUUUUGUAUGUACCUUAUGAAUAAGGAUCGGCUAACUCCGUGCCAGCAGCCGCGGUAAUACGGAGGAUCCGAGCGUUAUCCGGAUUUAUUGGGUUUAAAGGGUGCGUAGGCGGCCUUUUAAGUCAGCGGUGAAAGUCUGUGGCUCAACCAUAGAAUUGCCGUUGAAACUGGGGGGCUUGAGUAUGUUUGAGGCAGGCGGAAUGCGUGGUGUAGCGGUGAAAUGCAUAGAUAUCACGCAGAACCCCGAUUGCGAAGGCAGCCUGCCAAGCCAUGACUGACGCUGAUGCACGAAAGCGUGGGGAUCAAACAGGAUUAGAUACCCUGGUAGUCCACGCAGUAAACGAUGAUCACUAGCUGUUUGCGAUACACUGUAAGCGGCACAGCGAAAGCGUUAAGUGAUCCACCUGGGGAGUACGCCGGCAACGGUGAAACUCAAAGGAAUUGACGGGGGCCCGCACAAGCGGAGGAACAUGUGGUUUAAUUCGAUGAUACGCGAGGAACCUUACCCGGGUUUGAACGCAUUCGGACCGAGGUGGAAACACCUUUUCUAGCAAUAGCCGUUUGCGAGGUGCUGCAUGGUUGUCGUCAGCUCGUGCCGUGAGGUGUCGGCUUAAGUGCCAUAACGAGCGCAACCCUUGCCACUAGUUACUAACAGGUAAAGCUGAGGACUCUGGUGGGACUGCCAGCGUAAGCUGCGAGGAAGGCGGGGAUGACGUCAAAUCAGCACGGCCCUUACAUCCGGGGCGACACACGUGUUACAAUGGCGUGGACAAAGGGAAGCCACCUGGCGACAGGGAGCGAAUCCCCAAACCACGUCUCAGUUCGGAUCGGAGUCUGCAACCCGACUCCGUGAAGCUGGAUUCGCUAGUAAUCGCGCAUCAGCCAUGGCGCGGUGAAUACGUUCCCGGGCCUUGUACACACCGCCCGUCAAGCCAUGGGAGCCGGGGGUACCUGAAGUCCGUAACCGCGAGGAUCGGCCUAGGGUAAAACUGGUGACUGGGGCUAAGUCGUAACAAGGUAGCCGUACCGGAAGGUGCGGCUGGAACACCUCCUUUCUGGAGC